rnacentral:rRNA from 1 species
GAUGAACGCUGGCGGCGUGCCUAAUACAUGCAAGUCGAGCGAACAGACGAGGAGCUUGCUUCUCUGACGUUAGCGGCGGACGGGUGAGUAACACGUGGAUAACCUACCUAUAAGACUGGGAUAACUUCGGGAACCCGGAGCUAAUCCCGGAUAAUAUAUUGAACCGCAUGGUUCAAUAGUGAAAGACGGUUUUGCUGUCACUUAUAGAUGGAUCCGCGCCGCAUUAGCUAGUUGGUAAGGUAACGGCUUACCAAGGCAACGAUGCGUAGCCGACCUGAGAGGGUGAUCGGCCACACUGGAACUGAGACACGGUCCAGACUCCUACGGGAGGCAGCAGUAGGGAAUCUUCCGCAAUGGGCGAAAGCCUGACGGAGCAACGCCGCGUGAGUGAUGAAGGUCUUCGGAUCGUAAAACUCUGUUAUUAGGGAAGAACAAAUGUGUAAGUAACUAUGCACGUCUUGACGGUACCUAAUCAGAAAGCCACGGCUAACUACGUG